CAGCAGCCACGGUAAUACAGAGGAUGCAAGCGUUAUCCGGAAUGAUUGGGCGUAAAGCGCGCGCAGGCGGAUCGGUCAGUCUGUCUUAAAAGUUCGGGGCUUAACCCCGUGAUGGGAUGGAAACUGCCAAUCUAGAGUAUCGGAGAGGAAAGUGGAAUUCCUAGUGUAGCGGUGAAAUGCGUAGAUAUUAGGAAGAACACCAGUGGCGAAGGCGACUUUCUGGACGAAAACUGACGCUGAGGCGCGAAAGCCAGGGGAGCGAACGGGAUUAGAUACCCCGGUAGUCCCUGUCUCUUAUACA
rnacentral:rRNA from 1 species